rnacentral:lncRNA from 1 species
GCAGAACAAAUACAAGAGUUCAUAACGGGAUUGGUAGAAUCACUUCGUGAUAUUUUGAAGUUUGCUUCAAACAUAAUUUUGAGAUAACCAAAUACAAACCUGCAAUAAAUUCACCCCCCAAUACCACACCGAACAAGUAGCUGUGUAAAUCUAUUUCAAACACACAAGGCCAGUGAGUUAACAUAUUACAGCAUAGAUCAAGACUAACCAAAAACAAUGACAAACUACAGCAUCACCGAAAAGAUAAUAAACCAGUGAGUUAACAUAUUACAGCACAGAUUAAGACUAACCAAAAAAAAUGACAAAAUUACAGCAUCACCAAAAAGAUAAGA